rnacentral:rRNA from 1 species
UACGUAGGCAGCAAGCGUUGUUCGGAAUUACUGGGCGUAAAGAGUGUGUAGGCGGUGCUCUAAGUUCGGUGUGAAAUCUCCCGCUUAACUGGGAGGGUGCGCCGGAAACUGGAGUGCUCGAGCGUGGGAGAGUGGAAUUCCUGGUGUAGCGGUGAAAUGCGUAGAUAUCAGGAGGAACACCUGUGGUGUAGACGGCUCUCUGGACCGCAACUGACGCUGAGACACGAAAGCGUGGGUAGCAAACAGG